rnacentral:rRNA from 2 species
CUCUGGUAUUGAUUGGUGCUUGCAUCAUGAUUUACAUUUGAGUGAGUGGCGAACUGGUGAGUAACACGUGGGAAACCUGCCCAGAAGCGGGGGAUAACACCUGGAAACAGAUGCUAAUACCGCAUAACAACUUGGACCGCAUGGUCCGAGCUUGAAAGAUGGCUUCGGCUAUCACUUUUGGAUGGUCCCGCGGCGUAUUAGCUAGAUGGUGGGGUAACGGCUCACCAUGGCAAUGAUACGUAGCCGACCUGAGAGGGUAAUCGGCCACAUUGGGACUGAGACACGGCCCAAACUCCUACGGGAGGCAGCAGUAGGGAAUCUUCCACAAUGGACGAAAGUCUGAUGGAGCAACGCCGCGUGAGUGAAGAAGGGUUUCGGCUCGUAAAACUCUGUUGUUAAAGAAGAACAUAUCUGAGAGUAACUGUUCAGGUAUUGACGGUAUUUAACCAGAAAGCCACGGCUAACUACGUGCCAGCAGCCGCGGUAAUACGUAGGUGGCAAGCGUUGUCCGGAUUUAUUGGGCGUAAAGCGAGCGCAGGCGGUUUUUUAAGUCUGAUGUGAAAGCCUUCGGCUCAACCGAAGAAGUGCAUCGGAAACUGGGAAACUUGAGUGCAGAAGAGGACAGUGGAACUCCAUGUGUAGCGGUGAAAUGCGUAGAUAUAUGGAAGAACACCAGUGGCGAAGGCGGCUGUCUGGUCUGUAACUGACGCUGAGGCUCGAAAGUAUGGGUAGCAAACAGGAUUAGAUACCCUGGUAGUCCAUACCGUAAACGAUGAAUGCUAAGUGUUGGAGGGUUUCCGCCCUUCAGUGCUGCAGCUAACGCAUUAAGCAUUCCGCCUGGGGAGUACGGCCGCAAGGCUGAAACUCAAAGGAAUUGACGGGGGCCCGCACAAGCGGUGGAGCAUGUGGUUUAAUUCGAAGCUACGCGAAGAA